GAGUUUGAUCCUGGCUCAGGAUGAACGCUGGCGGCGUGCUUAACACAUGCAAGUCGAACGAAGCACUCUUUUAGAUUUCCUUCGGGGAAGAAGAAAUUGUGACUGAGUGGCGGACGGGUGAGUAACGCGUGGGCAACCUGCCCCAUACAGGGGGAUAACAGCCGGAAACGGCUGCUAAAACCGCAUAAGCGCACAAGGGCCGCAUGGCCUGGUGUGAAAAACUCCGGUGGUAUGGGAUGGGCCCGCGUCUGAUUAGCUAGUUGGCGGGGGAGAGGCCCACCAAGGCGACGAUCAGUAGCCGACCUGAGAGGGUGGCCGGCCACAUUGGGACUGAGACACGGCCCAAACUCCUACGGGAGGCAGCAGUGGGGAAUAUUGCACAAUGGGGGAAACCCUGAUGCAGCGACGCCGCGUGAGCGAAGAAGUAUUUCGGUAUGUAAAGCUCUAUCAGCAGGGAAGAAAAAUGACGGUACCUGAGUAAGAAGCACCGGCUAAAUACGUGCCAGCAUCCGCGGUAAUACGUAUGGUGCAAGCGUUAUCCGGAUUUACUGGGUGUAAAGGGAGCGCAGGCGGUGCGGCAAGUCUGAUGUGAAAGCCCGGGGCUCAACCCCGGGACUGCAUUGGAAACUACCGAACUAG
rnacentral:rRNA from 1 species